ensembl:lncRNA
AAUUCAUAUUCAUGUGGACAGUUUUCUAGUAAUCUAAAAGAUCAAAACCUUUUUUUUUUUUUUUUUUUUUUUUUUUUUUUUUUAUUGCAAAAUGUUGAGGAGCCUCAGUCAGAAGACUUGAAACCUUUGGAAGAGGAACUGGAGGAGCUCAGCAGCCGAAUAAGUGUUUGUCGAGAGGAAUUUGAAGCUGCACGGAAUCAGAUGCUGACACACAAGAGGGAAUAUGAGGAGGCUGAGCAGCUCUCCCGGCAGCAGAGGGAAGCUUUCAACAGCAUUGCAGAGGAAGCUGAGACCAUAAAGGUUAGAGAAGAAGUCAAAAGUGUGUGUAAUUAGGGCUGGGGGGUAUAUCAAGUUUGUACAAUACAUUUUUUUUUAUAAGCGAAACAGUAUGAGGCAAUACCGUUAAUAUCAAUAUACAGUAGUUUGAUACGAGCGCAUCUGAAAAAAAUAUAGCGGAGGACAGACUGAACUGCAGCAGAGAAAGUGCAUAUUGCAAUUUGUUCUAAACAUGUGACAAGCUUUAUAUGAAGGGCUUUAAAAAACUUGUAAGAUAUAGUAGCCUAGGCAUGGGCCGAUUAGUGGUUUCAAGGUAUACUGCGAUUUGAAAAUGUCAUGGUUUCAAAACCUGUAAUAUUUUCCAUUAUACUGUUCCUGCGGUAUGCGCUGUUUUCCAUGUCUCCUCAGAGACUGAAAGAGUAGGAAUCCCUCAGACUGAGUGCAGUGUAGAGAGUAACACUGACCCCUCCUCCUCCUGUUGGUGCGAGCGAGCACUCAGUCACGUGUGUGUAGGAUGGCCCGGGUACACUUCACAUUGUUUCUUUCAGUCUCGCGCACAACCUUUCCACACAGCUUUCAAAAGUAUACUCAACUGCAGAUGAGCGCGGACGGAUGAGCUCACAUGUGCAGUACCAUGGUUGCGUGGCUGACUGCAAGCCCUCUUGAUGACGAAAAUAACGUAAUGCGGACGGCCAAAAUAUACUCUGGCCUUCACGUGAUCGGCAACCGGCCGUUUUUUGCCUUAUUGAAACUCUCUGUUCUGGACUUGCACAAACUGCUUUGUAAUGCAAUAAUUUAGAUC